GACAAAUUUCCUACAGUCAAGAAAUAUGCCUUUAAAAUAUUUUAUUAAACUAUAAAAUGACUUUCUUUGUUACUGUCUUUAUAUUUUAAUUUUAUUAAUUAUAAUAUCAAAGACAUUGAACAUUGAAUUAUCAUCAUUUAUUGGCAAUAAUAAACUUAUAAUACUAAUAAAAAUAUUUAGUUCAGCCUACAUACAUAAUUAACAAAGUAUUCCAAAUAUUGCAUGGCUAGGAAGUCAACAGCAAUUUACUGGAGAGGUCUGGUUAUCAUGCAAUGGCAUUGCAUUAGAAUCACACAUAAUGUGCUACUCAUAGAGAGAGCUGCAGGAAGUCUGCCAUCUUCUUCUCCUUCAGUUCAACAAAAUGCUGGAAUUAAAUUUUGUGUAUAUGUAUGUAUGUACAUCAUACAUACAUACAUACAUACAUACAUGAGCUCCUCUAAUUACAAACAUAUAUGUAAGUUUUGUUCAUAACUCAGAUACUAUUAUUAUUUGGCCCCAAAACUACUGAAAUAACUUAUAUACUGUUUUAUAGAUUGUGAAAUGUAUUACAAAACUUUCAAAUAACCACUGCCUAUUCGUUAUAACAUUGACUAGUUGAACUGCCC
rnacentral:lncRNA from 1 species